AACGCGAAGAACCUUACCAGGACUUGACAUCCUCUUGACCGUUCUAGAGAUAGAGCUUCCCUUCGGGGCAAGAGUGACAGGUGGUGCAUGGUUGUCGUCAGCUCGUGUCGUGAGAUGUUGGGUUAAGUCCCGCAACGAGCGCAACCCUUAAUCUUAGUUGCCAGCAUUAAGUUGGGCACUCUAAGGUGACUGCCGGUGACAAACCGGAGGAAGGUGGGGAUGACGUCAAAUCAUCAUGCCCCUUAUGUCCUGGGCAACACACGUGCUACAAUGGGUCGUACAAAGGGUAGCGAAGCCGCGAGGUGGAGCCAAUCCCAAAAAGCGACUCUCAGUUCGGAUUGCAGGCUGCAACUCGCCUGUAUGAAGCUGGAAUUGCUAGUAAUCGUGGAUCAGCAUGCCACGGUGAAUAUGUUCCCGGGCCUUGUACACACCG
rnacentral:rRNA from 1 species